rnacentral:rRNA from 1 species
GAGCGCCGUAGCAAUACGGAGCGGCAGUACGGGAGUAGUCACACGUGGGAACGUGCCCUUCAGUUCGGAACAACCCAGGGAAACUUGGGCUAAUACCGGAUACGUCCGUAAGGAGAAAGAUUUAUCGCUGAAGGAUCGGCCCGCGUCUGAUUAGCUUGUUGGUGGGGUAAUGGCCCACCAAGGCGACGAUCGAUAGCUGGUCUGAGAGGACGAUCAGCCACACUGGGACUGAGACACGGCCCAGACUCCUACGGGAGGCAGCAGUUGGGAAUCUUGGACAAUGGGGGAAACCCUGAUCCAGCCAUGCCGCGUGAGUGAUGAAGGCCUUAGGGUUGUAAAACUCUUUCGGCGGGGACGAUAAUGACGGUACCCGCAGAAGAAGCUCCGGCUAACUUCGUG